AGGUGACCCACGCUUGGGGCUGCUUCACAGGGGUGUGACCUGGGAGCAACACAGGGUCAGGCGCUUGGAAGGGCUCCGUGCCCAGAAGGGUUCUGUGCUUGGUUUAAUGCUCUGUUGUCACCAUCUUGAAAUUCUUAACUUUUUAGCAAAGGGCCCAGUUUUUCAUUUGCAGUGAGCUAUGCCCUAAGAACUGACCAACGCUGGAGCUUUAGGCUUCCUAGGUGUUGGCGACUUGUGGAGAGAGGCUCCUGUGGGGCUGCUCACCCACACCAUCCGGCUGCCAUUAGCACUGCCAGUUAAAGUUGCUGGGAACCUCUGUGUGCCGGGCACUGUGUUAGAUGCUGGAGAAGCAGAAGGAAGGAGGCUGGGCACCUGCCCCAGGAGCUGCCAAUCAAGACUAGAGACUGGCAGCCAGGAGCGGUUGUUACUGACCCCACGUUUCAGAGGAGGAAACAGAGCACCAGAGAAGGAAGCAGAGCCGCGCUCCAGGUCCCGGGUCACGGAGACACAGGGAGAGGGCGUUUGCGGCCCAGGCUGGGAGCCCCCUGACCCCGCGGAGAGCAAGGAUGCCCCGCAGCAAGGGGAGGCUCGGCGAGCCGCUGGGCGUGUCUGCCGCGUGGUCCCCACGGGGGGCCUGGGGGGGCGCCCUGCGCUCUGGGCCCUAGAGGAGUCGAGAGCCCCGGGGUGUCGCAGGGGGCCCGGGCUCGGCAGGAAAAAGAGCCUCCAGCGCCGGGGCUCAGCGUCUGCGCGCGCUGGGGGUUCGCGACGCCCGCGACGGUGUCACGCCGGGCGCGCUUUCGCCCCUCGGGGCUGUGCCGAGCGGAUGCGCUGCCUGCGUGUGAACAGGGCUUGUUUUCCCUUCACGCCCUCGGGCUCCGUUUUUAUGAAGAACUUCCUUCUGUUGGCGCUUUGGGAAUAUUCAUUCCUGGCUUGCACAGCGCGCGGGUGACAGUUGCGCUGGGAAAUGUACCCGCGGCUUAAUUAGGGCAUCACCAGACCGCUCUAAGAACCCGCCCCCGCCCUUCCCUGCGCCCCGACCCCGGGGACCCCAGAGCCUGCCCCGCGCUGUGGGAGGCAGCAUAGCGCUGCUCCUGCAGCUGUGAGCACCGCUAUUGCUCCUGGUGUGGGCCCGGUGACCCCGAUGUCCCCAGCCUGCCCUCUGCCCGCUCAUCUCUCAUAGGAACCUGUCUCGGCCAAGGCAGGAGGCUUACUAUCCUCCACACAGGCCAUCCUCUUGCACUUUUGUUCUUACCCUUGCUCCCAUCUGGAAUGCCCUCUGCUCUCCUCCUGGAAUAGAUCUAUCCAGUCUCCAGACCCCUCCAAGUUCCUCCUGCUCGCCUGCCGCAGCCUGCACUCACCCACCCAGCUGAAGAGUCCUUUCCCACCAGUGGGCGUCCUAAGGCCUCCUGCUGCUCUGCCCCCAGACUGCCCUGGGCAGAUGGACCACGAUGGGCCACCUGCUCUGGGUUGCUGCCACUUCACCACAGCAUCCUCAGGGGGAGGGGCUAACAUGUAGGUUUCACCCUGUUUCUGAGGAAGCUGAAGGUAAUGUUAAUAGGAAGGCUGGCAAAACCGAGUACAGACAACCCCCAACAGCCUGUGUAUGUGGCUUGGGGCAGGGUGAGGGGAGACCUUGCACCCGAAAAGCCUGGAAGAGUACUGUAGAAGGAGGCCGAUGGGAUUGACAGUAAAUGUCAAGCCAAAAAAUAAAUAUUGAAAAUUCGACUGCAUAUUAUAUUAAAAUCUCACUAUGAAAAAAACUGGAAAAAUAUUUGCAACACAUAUGGCAAAGGGUGAGUUUCCUUAAAUGCUAAAUCACUCCUACAGUCAGAGGAAAAUCAGCAACCCCAGGGAAAACGAGCAAAUAGCAACAGGCCGUUCACAGAGAGGAACCACAAAUGGCUUCUAAAGAAAUGAGGGGAUGGGCAGCCUUACUCAUCAUGACAGAAAUGCGGAGGUGACAGAUGACAUCUGAGUUUAAAUUGGAUGGAGAAAUAUCUUCAAGAUGUGUGGCCCAGUGGGACACAAAGGCCACAGGGAGGUGCUGUGAGCAGAGCACCAGGGCCCCGACGGGAUUUCACUGGAUGGCUGCUCAUGUCUGGUGGGUUCGACAGGCUGUGCAGGGGUGAAGCCUGCGGUGGGUCCGCAGCCGGACUCGGGGCAAAUCUCUGCUCUGUCGCUUCCCAGCUGCAUGACCGCAGCCAGCUUCCUCAUAUUCUCUGAGCCUCCGUUUCUCAUCUGUAAACUGGGUCAUGAUGUGCUUCCAGGGAGGGCUAAGAUGUGGUCAGGGGAGGGGAAGGAUCGGGGUAACACUGAGGCUGGGAGGGAAACCGAGGGGCAGGAAGGGAAGGUCACUGUGGGGAAGGGGAGGGGUGUGGGAGGGCAGGAGAUGCUGCCUGGGGUGGAGUAUGAAGCAGGUGCGGGGGGGUGGGCAGACCUGGGACUGCUGAGAGAAUGGGUGGAGAUGGAGGUGGCCUUGGAGACCACACUUUGAGGUUAUUUGGUGGUGAAGGAAAGGGGAGAGCUUGAAGGAGGGAUGGGAUACAGAUGGGAAGGUGGUUAGGAUGGGGCAGAUGAGAAUAUCUGUAGGUUGUGAAAAUGGCCUUAGGCUCCCAGGACCGUUGCUCUUCCAGCAGCAUCUCAAAGGUGGGCGCACAGCUAAUUCUGCAUGACCCUAUUUGGUGUGGCCCAAUCUAGCAGAAGUCUGGGUUAUGCUUGUAGGGCUGGGACACAUGCAAAGACCAGCAGAGAGAUGAGCCAAAACCCAGCUUCCCAGGAAUUAGAUGGAGAUGAUGGCAUUUAACCAUCAUCUACAAGGACAGCAAAGCCAGGGGAAGAGUUGGAAGCGCAUGUGAGGAAGUGAAAACUCGAACCUAAGAGAGGCCCACCUCCACGGCCAAGCAGCGAGGCUAACAGGACAACCUGUCCCAGGUCAGAGUUGGGGGUGAACCUAAAAUGUGAGCUUGUGGAACGGUGCCUGGCACAGAUAGGCACUCCACAAACGUUUCUCGAAUGUACAACCUGGAAGGAGGCUUGCGAGACUUGUUAAAACAAGUAGUUCAAGCUCCUGCCGGUGAGUACAGCGAGGCUGCGAGGACGCGGCAGCUGCGUGGCCAGGUGUGCUGAGAAUGUGGCUACAGUUCUCAGCGCCAACCGGGUGGGGGCCCGGGCUCCUGCCCUUGCAGCUCCAGAGGGUGCAUAAGCUACCCUCUCAAAGGGAGGAAGAUGCCUUGCUGGGGCUCAGCAGCUGAACCUGGGCUCCCUGGAUUCUGCAGAAUUGCUUUUGUUGGUGCCUUGGGCUACCUGACUUGCAUGGAACAGGAGUCCCUACCAACCUUGAGCAGAGAAAGGGUAAAGUUAUUAGGGCUCCCAGACUCAGAUUCCAGGGUGUGUGGGGGUGUGGGGGGUGGGGUGCUAAGGGAGAAAUGAAAGCAGCUUUGAGGACCGCAGAAACAGGCAUAUGCAGACUUCACGCUGAAGUCCCCCCAAUAUCCACCCUCAAUUCCCCAGCUCUCAGGGCCUCCCUGUGCAGACUCAGGCCUGCUCUCCAGAAGGAUCUGAUUGGCUGAUGGCCAGCCAAUGGGCGGCUCCCUCUAAAUCCACUCCUGGUCCAGUCAGCUCCAGGCUGGGAUUGUGGAGGGCGUGUCACUUCGGAAGAAGAAACGGGAUAGAACAAGCAAGUGAGCCGAUAUUUGGAUCGCUUGUGGGAUAGAAGAAUGCCUGGAAGUGGGAUCAGCCCACCUGGGCUCCAUCCUAUCCCUAACGAGCUCUAUGAACGCAGAGCAGUCUCUCUCUGUGCCUCAGUUUCCUAAACUGAAAAAGGGUAGUAACAAUGUGUUUGUCACAGGGUUGUUGUGAGGAGAAAAUGAGAUAAAUAACAGGAGAGUGUUUUGUAAACUGUAAAGCUCGAGGCGAUGUUUUAUUUUGCACCCAAGGGAGUGAAUGUUCUUGAGUUUUACUUUACACUGAAUCAUGGUCCCGCCCCCAGCUGAUGCUGGACACAGGUCAGCUCUUACACCUACAUCCCUAGCCUGUGAGAGAAAUGCAGACAGGUCUUCCUGCAGAAUGCACCCGGCUGGACGAUCUUAGUUCCAGUUGCAGCUCUGCCUCCAGGGGAAGCUGGGUAGGCCCUCUGGGUCUCAGUUUUUUCUCCAUCUGUAAAAUGGAUUGACAUGAGGGGAGGAUUAAAUACCCUCUCCUCCUUCUCCUUGUUCCUUUCUCUGCUCCUGGUUUCCUCGUCCCUCCUCUCCUCUCUGGACCUUCCGUGGGUGGUCGCAGCUGAGAUGGAAGGAGCCCUUCAGGACAUUUCUGUGCCCUUGUCAAAGCCAUCUAAACCCCGCCCUCUGCGCACACAGCCCAACACCAGACAAGAGCGUGCCUUACGCUCCUCUCGAAUUGUUUCAAGUGUGCAGUAGCAUUUGCACAAUUGGAUUCUAAACCUUAGACGUCGUCUUUAACUUCUUUUGUGAAAAUCACAACUGUUCUGUCUGCGUAACCAGAACAGGCACCUGGCAAAAGUUUGCUGGAGGAAACGGAACUGAACGACCCUUGGCAGAGUGGAGCUUCCUGCCCGCCUCCCUUCCCUUCCAGCUCUCAGCCUCUCGACCUUGACACGUUCCUUGCCAUCCCCACUCCCGUUUCCCGUACUUUGCAUGCCUGGGACGUGCUCGCUUCUUCCUGGACCCCUUCCCGCCGGUGCCGGGAUCUUGGGACCCAGGCAAGGAGGGGCUGCGGCUCCUGAGCUCUCACCCAACCCUGCAGGCCGGGUGUCAUCUCAUGCAACAGCUGACGGUGACGCCUCCACCACUCUGGUGUCACUUUUAACACUGCACGUUCACACCACCGGCUGACUGUCUGCGCAAGGCGGCCCCAGCAGAGCCGCGUGCAGCCGCACCCCACAUGUGCAGUUGUGAAGCCGGCAGUUGUUCAGCAGGUUCUCAUGGCCUCACUUCCAGACGUGUUACUUCUGGAGGGAACAACACCACGGAACUGCCAAGCUCUCCCAAGAAGGAACGACAGGACCUGCCUGUCCCGUGUCGGCCUGGAGGGGGAGGGGAGGCGUUUCGGAGCGAUGGCAUGCAACGACCUGGGCCCUGGACCUCCGCUACCUGCACACAGUUCCCUACGUUAGAAGAACAAGAGGAGGAAGAGAAAAAGGAAGAGGGAAAUCAUGUCACCGUGCCACUAAACCCUUCUAUUAAAUCUGCCUGUUCACCACGUUUUCAGGCUAUUUCAUGAUGUAAUAGUAAGAGACAAAAGCAACAGCCGCACCCCUAUACACGAUGUGAUCUCAGUUGUGCAGCGUGUGCCGGGCAUGAUCACUCUUCACCUACAUCAGACUCCCGCCACUUUCAGGCGGCUGGAGGAUUCACUUCCUCCUCUCCCGAGAACAGGCUUGGCUACGUGACUUGCUUUGGCUAAUGAAAUGUGACGGACGUAAUGCGUCACUUCCGGUGCCGUAUUUAAUUGCUGGCGCUCCCCUCCCCAGCCCACUCUCCUGCCUCAGCAGCCUUCGGAGGUGGCUGAUCUGCAGCGCCCGGAAGAUGGCAAGGGCCACCGCAGUGGGGAGGGCACCCCUGAGAGUCCCCCAGACUCCAGUGACCUGGUGAUGGACCUCCUGAUUUUUAGCUUGGCCUAUGUUCACCCAAAGUAAAGACCACACUGCCCAGCGUCCUUCGCAGCUGGCUGUGGCCAGGAGACCAAGUUCUGGCGAUGAGAUACGAUGUGCACAACCGCUGACUGUGCUCUCCCUCCUUCCCCUCACGCUUGGCGGAACACAGGUGCGAGGCGGGGGCCACUUUGGACUGGGCCCCCGGGGGCUUAACUCCAGAAAGGCCGAGCAACAAGGCGGGGGUGCUGAGCGACAUACCAGCUGGGACGUCGACAAGACAGAACGUACUAGUCAGGGCCCUACAGAGAACAGAACCCAUAGGAUAUAUAGACAGACACAGAAGAGGAGACUUCCAGGAAUUCGCUCACGAGGCAGUAGAGGCUGAGGAGUACCACGAGCCGGAGGCCCCCACAAGCUGGCGGGGUAGCUCAGCCUCAACCCAAAGGCGUGAGAAUCAGGGGACCCAGAGCUGUAGUCCCGGUGCUAGAACACGGAAUGCUGACGGCCAAGAGCGGGAGGAGAUGGAUGUCCCAGCUCAAGCAAGGAGCAAAUUCGCCCUUCCUCGGCCCUUUUGUUCUUUCCCGGCCCCCAGUGCACUGGAUGAUACCCACCUGCGGUGGUGAAGACUAUCUUCUUUGCUCAGGCUACCGACUCAAAUGCUCAUGUCUUCCAGAAGCACCCUCACCGACAAACCCAGAACUAAGUUGUACCAGCUCUCUAGGCUCCCUUAAC
rnacentral:lncRNA from 1 species